UUCUCCGGUGGCGGGGGCCUGGGCGUGGACCCGGACGUGGUGCACAAGAUCGCCCGCGAGAUCGCGGCCGUCGUCCGGGACGGCGCGGAGGUG
rnacentral:tRNA from 1 species